CGAAUAUAAAAUGACGGUCCUCGCAACUGAGGGCUUAGUCUAAAUCACGCACGAUAGAAGAUGAAGGAUAGACCUGAGAAAGAAAGAAAUGAAGAAGGACAAUAGUCAGCAGUGCAGUCACACAAGAGGAAAGAAAUCUAUUUUAAUUGCCAUUUUGGAAGUAUUUUAUUCACGCUUAAUGAGGACCGAGGAAGAAAUGAAGGACGGGGAUUGAAUGUCUAGAAAUCAAAAUGGCUAGAAAUGAUUGAAAAAGGCUUGAAUUUAAACCAAAUUUAAACCAAAAAAGGAGUCAAGGUUUUCAGAUUUUUAUCUUUUUUAAUGUGUGCAUACUGAAUGGACAGUGUUUACCAAAAUUUGCCCUGCAUUUUGUUAGCAUGAGAUGGAGUAAGUGCUUUUUUAACAACGCAGGCUGGGCGGAAGCAAACCAGCAGUUCCCCUGGGGAAGGUGUUGGGGGAAGGGAAUUUGGCAGUGCCUCCGCACUUUCAGGCCAGUCACAGAGAAAGCCGUGUCCUGCAGGCUGAAAUAUCAGAUGCAGAUCCCCAGCUGGCAGCAGUUGUCACGGCUGCCUUGAAGUUGAUGAAUCUGUGACGUUUUUAAACAGCGAGCCCUAAAACUUUUGCUCUGAACUCUCAUGACAGAGCCCUGACAUGACUGUCCAGAAACAGAGGAGUGUAGGAGAUACCUGAUGGAGAGUUCUGGGCAGAGUAAGGGUAAGGGUUUUGCAGAGUCAUCGGUGAAACCUCAUUUGGAGUACAGCACAGCAACUUGGACAACCACAUUCAAGAAAAAUUAAAUCACACUGGAACAGAGUCAUUGGAAGAGUGACAGUGAUCUUCUGAGAGCCUGGCUUGUUUAGCCUGGCAAAACAAAGCCUGAGAAAGGGGAUAGGAUUGCUGUCUAUAAAUACACCAGUGAGUAAAUAUCACAGAUAGACCAGAGCUAUUUAAGCUUAAGGACAAUGCUAGCACAAAAACAAAUGGAUACAAACAGGUCCUGAAUAAAUUUAUGCUGGAAAUCAGAAAAGGGCUCAAUUCUUCUGGCCAUAAAAUUCUUCAACGCUAAUAAGAAGUAGUGGGGUGAGUUGCCCAGGCCAUUUUUUGAAAGAAGUGCAACGAGUGGAGUGAAGUGAUUAUACCACUCGACUGCAGUAGCAGGGACUGGGACUUGCCCGGGCUCCCUUCCUCAGCAGAAAUCGCCCAGCAAAAUUUGUGCUUUGCCUACCAGAAUCAAAGUGGGCCAAGCAUUCAUCAUGAUGGAUGCUGUUUAGUGUGAGGAGUCAAAUAAGCAGAACCACAGUCAAAGCCAUUCCUUCACUCCCAGUGAAUGCUAAUGACACUCGUUCAGCGCUGCAUGGAAAAUUCACUUGGUAAACUAGGUUAAUGGAAGAAAAUCCUCUUCUCUGAGGGACAGGGCCACUGGGUUGGAAGCCUCACUGCGGUGACCCUUGCACGUAUUUUGUAGUGUCCUCUUUUGUAAAUAUUUUCCAGCCCUAUGAAAGUUUGCCACAGACCUCUGCCAGCUUGCCUUAAAAAAUGCAGUCCCUACCAGAGCGAAGUAGGGUCCUGCUAGUGGUACCAAUAGCCUGUCCCCUCCCUGACUCCGAAGGUCUGGGCAGUAGACAGGCGUUUUUCCAAGUUCCUGAAGUACAGGAGGAUGGAAAGGACAGCACACAGGGUGGGAGAGGGGAGGGGAACAGCAGGAUGCUAGGGGUUAUUGGUCACUGCAUUGGUCAGGAGCAACAAAAAGAGCAACUCUCCAGUCAGCAUACGUGUGAUAGCAUUUCCACACUUCGAUCCCAGUACAUUUGAUACAACCAGAAAACUGGAUUACCCCCUAUUUACACAGGAAAUCACCAUCUCCACAUGGCACAGCAAGUGUCACCGCCUCCCUGCUCCCCUCUUUUUAUUUUUUGGGCGCAGGCGUUGCACUGCUGGCACUGGCAGGGAGGGCUUUGGGAGCCUGCUCCCUUUGGCUCCUGGCCACAGCCCGCGUGUGGCACGCAGCAAGGCUCAGCGAGAGCGGCUAUCGGCUCGAUCAAGCUUUUAAGUGCUCCCUGGACUAUUUUUGCAGCAGACCACGUUGCAGACCUUCAUAUCACCGCCGGUUCACUUCAGACUUGCUUCAACCCCUCUCAGCCAGCAGUAGCACGUUCUCCAAGUGCUCCUUCUGAAAGAAGCCAAGCACAAAAUGAACUGUUCCAACAAAAAUCUCUCUGAAGACCCACCUAGCUUACCAAACCUUUACCUACCCAGACUAAAGGGCUUGCAGUGGUGCUGCUACCAGGACCAGGAGGAGGAUGGUGGACCAGGAGCUGCCCCUGCCCUUCUGCUUCUCCUCACAAGCUCCACGCACCUCUGGCUGCUCUCUUUCGUGCAGGUGAAUACUGCGGUCACCUGAUGGAGAUGGAUUGUGGAGAUAGUUAUUCAUCUCAGCCCUUCGCCUUUUUCUCUUUGAGCUCCCAGUGUUAAAGAAAUUGUGUAUUGUUCCUUGGCUUUUCUAGCCCUGUUCGCAGCAAUUAGCAUUUUUAGUGCUUUUAACUUUAGCCAAAUAAACUUGCAAAGUAUGUUCUGAUUAACUAGUAACCACAUGACAAGCAGCUUCGUACAUAAGAUUGUCCAGAGGCCUUGAAUCCUGAAGAUCUAGAAAUUUAUAAAAGCCAAGGUGUAUGCACAGAGUCACGUCACAGCUGCUCGGAGAGGAGAAAUAAGUCACCAUCAAGCUGGAUUUCCUAGAGGUCUCAAGUUUAGGUAAUGUCAUCUCUUAGUGAUUAACUAUCAGCUAGGUCUGCCCUCUCUUAAUUUCUCCUGGUGUUUUUCAGGUGAAGCUAUUAUCCCCACAUGAAAAUGCCCCUGGUAAGGAACGAGCCAGGCCUCCAUUACUCAGUGGUCUCGUUUAAAGCCUCAUGCUUCCGACAAAGUAAUGGGAUAUUCUUGCUUUUAAGCACAGGAACCGGAUAAUAAAACACUGUAAGAACCCUGGGCUGAAGAUUGCCUGAAAUUUUUGUCUCCUUUUCCGGUGCUGAUGUUUCCUAAGCUCCCAAUGGAGAUUUUCUACAUCUAUGUAAAGUGUAUUUUGAAAGACAGCUCCACAGUCAUUGCUUCUACAUCACUCAUCUAGUUUUCAGCAGGCAUAUUCCAGUUCCUUAUCAGAUAUAGCUGCAAAAGGGAAACACAGAGUGAAGCGUAUUACCUGCGAUGACUACAUGCGAUGGCUGUAUUACAUUAAUCGGGAAUUGCUGCAAUGGACUGACUCUGUAAUUGCUUUCCGAUCUGAAGAGCGUUCAGUCUCAUCUCUACUCAUAAUCACUAUCUGAUCAGUGAAACGGGCCAUGAUAAAAGCUGGGUAAGAAAGCUUCCUUCUUUACUAAUUGGACGAGACUUGGAAACCAGAGGCUUUUCUGGGAGCGCUGCCUAUUUUCCUCAUAAUUAUUUGCAUAUUCAGUUCAACAGCAAAACAAGUCCAUAAUUGUUCAGUUCAGAAAUGAAAAGCUUCUCAUCAUGUACAUCGGUCAGAAAAAACAUGAGCAAUCACUACAUCAAUACUAAAUAGCACUAAAUCAGUACUACCUGCACUAAUUUGGGACUAGGAAGUGUAUAAAACAAAAACUUAAGAAGCUUAAGAAGGACAUUAAGGAAGGAAACCUGCUAGAGACGUUGUUUUAUGUAUGCUUGUUAGUACAAGGAAGAACUUUUCCACUGUUCAACGUGUAAAUUACAUUCACCAUCUAAUCACACCGAGACAAUCUGAGGUGUUUCCACAUUCAGAUAUGUUUUGUAACCAGUUUAUAGCUGAUGUGUAACUCACAACAGCGCUGCCAUCGCCUUAAAUUUAAUAACAAGGGUGGGGUCAGACCUAAAUGUGAGCCUCCCGCUUUGAUGCCUGACAUAAAUAAUGCACACAGAGAGUCUCAAAUGUUAUUUGGCUCUACUGCUGUGGAUUGAAUGUCAUGGCUUAAUGCCACUGUGCAGAAAUAACACCACCAAAAUAACUUGAUCUAACUAUUUAACCUUGCAAAUACAUAGUAGGAAAUGAGGCAAAGCCUGAAAAAAAAAAUGGGGGAGGGAGUUAAAAAUAAAUAAAUAAAGGCUGAAACUGAGUCUUUGAAUCCUUGUGGUUCAAACCCACAUUGCUUUCACAUCAUUUUGUUCCAUCCAAACUCAUAAGACUGUCUGGACCAGUAAUGGUUAUUACAACAUCAUUACACUCCAGCAUAGCUGUUUGUGCCUACUGAUCAAAUAAUUCUCAAAUAUAGGCCUAUUUAAUUAGGUGAUAGAGAAGGCAAACACUGAAGUCCAUUCUCGAGCAAUGUCUCAGAAAGUAACAUGAGAGUUUUACAUGAGAAAGGACUGACAAAAUAUUCAACAAACGCUCAGUGUCUGGCUCUUUUUGUUCUCCUAAAUUUCAGUGCAAAAGAAAGGGAAAGUAAUGCUUUAAAUAUAAAGUAUGUCAUUUCACAUUAUCUUUUUUUUCAAAAGACAUUGCAGCACAUCAGAUUAAUCUGUGGCAACUUCUGUCUGCAACUUCUACUGAUGAGAAUAAUCUUUUCCAUCAAACUCGUAGAUGAGUAAUAUUUAAAAGCUAGCACUCGCGUUUUCUUCAGUGUAACUUCCCAAGCUGUGGAGUUGACCAUUGAAAUCUGUCUAGGGAGAGAGUUUCACCAGGACUGCUCCACCCGAGAUUUCAAGCUCAGACAACUCAAUCAAUACAAAACAGAUGAGGCUGAACCACCAGAAAGCAGAUCACUCAAAAGUGGGCUCCUGUGCACCAAUUCCAACUUUUUGUUCUUGACAUUAGAGCUGUUCAGAAGUUAAACUUCAAGAUUGGCUUAUUUUCCAAGCCAGCUAGGAGAAAAAUGCACUCAGCCACUGUCGUGCCUGUACGACUGCAGUCUUUGCUCAAACCAACUUAAAAAUAAGUCUUCUGAGCAUCUUCCACACACACAUGAAAUAUUUCAAAAGAAAAAGGCAAACAUCACUGUUUCCUGUCGUAGAAUCAUAGAAUGGUUCAGGUUGGAAGGGACCUCAAAGCUCAUCUAACU